rnacentral:rRNA from 1 species
UACGUAGGGGGCUAGCGUUAAUCGGAAUUACUGGGCGUAAAGCGUGCGCAGGCGGUUUUGUAAGUCUGACGUGAAAUCCCCGGGCUUAACCUGGGAAUUGCGUUGGAGACUGCAAGGCUGGAGUCUGGCAGAGGGGGGUAGAAUUCCACGUGUAGCAGUGAAAUGCGUAGAGAUGUGGAGGAACACCGAUGGCGAAGGCAGCCCCCUGGGUCAAGACUGACGCUCAUGCACGAAAGCGUGGGGAGCAAACAGG